UACGUAGGGGGCAAGCGUUGUCCGGAUUUACUGGGCGUAAAGAGCUCGUAGGCGGUUUGUCACGUCUGCUGUGAAAACUGGAGGCUCAACCUCCAGCCUGCAGUGGGUACGGGCAGACUAGAGUGCGGUAGGGGAGAUUGGAAUUCCUGGUGUAGCGGUGGAAUGCGCAGAUAUCAGGAGGAACACCGAUGGCGAAGGCAGAUCUCUGGGCCGUAACUGACGCUGAGGAGCGAAAGCAUGGGGAGCGAACAGG
rnacentral:rRNA from 1 species